rnacentral:rRNA from 1 species
GAUGAACGCUGGCGGCGUGCCUAACACAUGCAAGUCGAGCGAUUCUCUUCGGAGAAGAGCGGCGGACGGGUGAGUAACGCGUGGGUAACCUGCCCUGUACACACGGAUAACAUACCGAAAGGUAUGCUAAUACGAGAUAAUAUGCUUUUAUCGCAUGGUAGAAGUAUCAAAGCUCCGGCGGUACAGGAUGGACCCGCGUCUGAUUAGCUAGUUGGUAAGGUAACGGCUUACCAAGGCGACGAUCAGUAGCCGACCUGAGAGGGUGAUCGGCCACAUUGGAACUGAGACACGGUCCAAACUCCUACGGGAGGCAGCAGUGGGGAAUAUUGCACAAUGGGCGAAAGCCUGAUGCAGCAACGCCGCGUGAGCGAUGAAGGCCUUCGGGUCGUAAAGCUCUGUCCUCAAGGAAGAUAAUGACGGUACUUGAGGAGGAAGCCCCGGCUAACUAC